AGCUAGGCCUCUGAUUGGAGGAGAUCUGGGGGUGUGGCCAACGGCAGGGGGAAAGGCUAUUAACCGUUAUUUUCAGCCAGUACUCGGCUCAUUUCUCCGAAUGACUCUGAACUGAUCUCUUAGAGUUUAGGUGGCGUCUUCCCUUCUCCCCAGGAAGAACAGAACUGCUAUAAAGAUGCAGGAAAACCCCUGAGGCCCAGGAGGAGGCCAACUGGGGAGUCCAGGUACCCUGUUCUCCAUGGCCAAGGAGCAGCGCCCGCUGAGUGCAGCAGCCUGGGACUCUGAGGACAGGUCCAUGCCCGGUGGAGCCGCCCAGCCCGGCCCUGCCCAGGCCUGACUCUCAAGGAUUGGUCACUGCCCGUGAUCACCAGUCAAGCUAAGGGAGAGAAUGGAGGUUCCCAACGGUCCGCCCGGACGCUUUCUAGGAGCUAGGAAGCCACAUUCCAGGGGUGCCCGUCGAGGGGGGACCCUGCCCCAGCCACCUUCCUUCUCAGCCUCCCUCGUGAGGCUUUAUUUGAAAAAAGUCUCGGCGGGUGACACCAGGGGCUUUUGUUCCCAGAACCACACACGCACCCCUUUCCCCUCCCAGUAGAACAGUGCGCUCCUGGCGGGAGAUUUGCGCCUAGGCAAUAGGAGGAGAGCGGGCCCUUCCAGGUGGAUAUUCCCUCAAAGGGUCACGCGGGUGCCCGGGGGGAAGGGCGGGGCUGUGGGCUGGUGGGGCCUCACGAGAAGAGACAGGACUCCUGCCCCUCCUCGCGUGCCCCUUUUAGUCCCCGCGCUCAGCUCUGACCCCAAGCCUUUUCCAUUUACCAUCAACAUGGAAACUGCACGAGGGCAUAUUCUCCCUCCUUGUGCAUUUAUCUUGUUCCUCAAAACUGCCCUUACAUGGAGGAGACUUGUGGGACUCAGGGAGCCUGGUCUGUCAGCCAAGCCCCAAUAAAGCCCCUCAGCCCUCAGCUCCAGUGGGAAAUUUAAUAAAGGCUUCAUGUUCUGAACAGCCUGGACUGGUGAUUGGUGUGCUGGCUCAGAAGCUGUGCCGCUUUCUCCCCACCCAAACCAGGUGGAUGGUGUGUUUGUGCUGUGGGGGAAAUGAUAAUAAGGGUGAGGGGGGCUUUCUGGGAGGCGCCCCUACCUCCCACCUCCCCUUUGCAGCAUGCUCCUCUCUAUGGCAGGCAGGGACUCAUAGCAGUUGGUUUACUAGUCAUGGUAACAAGGCAAGAAGGAAAGCACAAACCCCCUGCCCCCCAGUCAGGCCAUUAGGAAGGAUGGGGAGGGGAGGCAAAUAGUGAUUCAUACUGAGGUUCUGGAAUUACUAUUUUUAUGACUUUGUUCUUCUAAUCCUUGCUUGAGGAUGAAUGGCUAAGGAACAAGUUACUGGUGGGAGGGUUUGUCCUCAUUAGAGGGGACUCAGGACCCUGGUAGCCCUCUCCUCAUUGGCCUGUGCUGUGCACCCUGGAGGUGUGGCCAAUGCUCCUGGAUCUCAGUGGUAGUGAAAGUCCUAGCGGAACACAAGUCAUCGCACCCACUUAUUGUGACCUCAGCAGUUGCCCACUAUCCCCCUGGCCCCUCUUGUUUUCCCUGUGUGCAGAAGACCAGAGCUGACUUGGCAAGAGGACAGACAUCCCUAAGUGUCCAAGCUAGGGUUCUGCCUCUGAGUUCUGCCCUGACGAUGACCAUAAGAAGAUGAUUCUGGAAGUCUGGUGGCUCUGGGUUUUUCUAAGAAGCAAGAACGAGAAAGCUGGCUGGACAAAAGGAA